rnacentral:rRNA from 1 species
AUUGAACGCUGGCGGCAUGCCUUACACAUGCAAGUCGAACGGCAGCGGGGGAGAAGCUUGCUUUUCCUGCCGGCGAGUGGCGAACGGGUGAGUAAUACAUCUGAACGUGCCCUGUAGUGGGGGAUAACUAGUCGAAAGAUUAGCUAAUACCGCAUACGACCUGAGGGUGAAAGUGGGGGACCGCAAGGCCUCAUGCUAUAGGAGCGGCCGAUGUCUGAUUAGCUAGUUGGUGGGGUAAAGGCCUACCAAGGCGACGAUCAGUAGCUGGUCUGAGAGGAAGAUCAGCCACACUGGGACUGAGACACGGCCCAGACUCCUACGGGAGGCAGCAGUGGGGAAUUUUGGACAAUGGGCGAAAGCCUGAUCCAGCAAUGCCGCGUGUGUGAAGAAGGCCUUCGGGUUGUAAAGCACUUUUGUCCGGAAAGAAAUGGCUCUGGUUAAUACCUGGGGUCGAUGACGGUACCGGAAGAAUAAGGACCGGCUAACUACGUGCCAGCAGCCGCGGUAA